UUGCUUUCUAGAGGGACCCCAUUCGGAGGUUUCCUCCCAAAUUUGCCCUAAACCAGGACAGAUGUCCAGCAGAAACCUAAGAAACGGAAGAGGAAGAUCUCUGAUCUGCAUUCUCAGAGAGGAGAAUUGAACACACAAGUUCCAAAGGCAGAGGACCAGGUGCAUGAGCAUAGGUGGAGGUGAGCAUCACUUUACUCUGGUGAGAAGCUGUUUUGUGAUGCAGACUCUGACACGUCCCAGAAAUGAGUACAGAUCCUAUACAGCCGGGAAAACAGGGCACCUAGCUACAGUUUGAACCUCCUGGCUGGGACUGAACUACCUGAAUGUUACAGCCUGAAGAGUGGAAAAAGCCUUCAAUGGUGUGAGUCAAUCUAUUCCUACCUAGAUAAUCUUCUGGCAAUUAAAACAUAAUCAAAAACCCUCUUGUAGAGCCUGUUGGAAGGAAAAUAGUGAGAUGAAGAAGCAUGAAGGCCUUAAAACACAAAUUAUCAUUUCCCAGCCCAAAUCAUUAGUCAAGAAACUUUCCACAAAAGGAAUAAACAUAGAAAAACAUUUUCAAAAUAAUUGUGGAAAAAAGGCAAAUGUCCUGUAAUGUAUUAGGAAUAUUUUUCCCCAAAGUAAUAUAUGAAAUGACUGCAUAAAAGAGAGAAAAUGGAAUUUUAGGUAGAGCUGUCUGAAAUUAACCUGACAAGAGGACAAGGUAAAAUUGCUUGUUUCUAUUUUAUGAGGAGGUAUUUGCCACUCCAGCUGUGAUGGUGGUGUGUGAUGCCUGCCUGCCUUAUUCCCACAGGGAUUCAUGGUGCCUGCACAGAGUCAGGCAAAUGUGAGAGCCCCAGGGCCAGCUUUUCAGAACCCCCACCUGGCCAAGACCUGCCACACAUCUGCCCAGAUAUGUGCUCUGUCAGACCUGGAGAAUGUUCACGUGGAAACCCUCACGAAGCAGUGUGGACUUAACCUUGUUCCCACCACAGCACGUUCCAGAGCUUCCCACUGACUCUGACCAUUGCUGGGCCAUGCCUUGAAACACACCAGCAACUAAAGCACAGCAUCCCCUCAGUGGCUGCUCUGUGUCAUGAGACACUGUGUGAACACACCAGUGAAGAAAAGGAAAAUCUUGUCCGUGAUUUUAAAUAGCCACAGGAUAUAGAUCACAGCAGCAGCCAGCUAACAGUGUCUCCCAACUAGGAAAAAUACUGUCUUUUCCCAGGCAGAAAUGUCUACUUGUUUUUUUUUCUUUCAGCUGUUGGAUUAAUAAAUCCUUAGGACAAUUAACCUCUGAAAUAACUAAUCCUUGAAGGGAGAAGAGGGACAGAUUGUCUCUUUGCUGAGGUAACUGCUGCAAAGGUGAAGCAGGCAGUUACCAGUACCACUCUCCACAGUGCUGUUGGCUUCUUCUAUGAUAUGGUGUGGGAUGGUAUGGUGUGGUAUGAUAUGAUGUGGCUGCAGGUGUCAUUGUCACCACAGUGCACACAGGAAAUGGAGGGGUUGGAUGAAAUGUGGAAAAAAUGGAAGGGAGAAAAUGAAGCUACCUGGAGAAAAUGAAUGACAGGAUGUGUCCUUCAGUUUGUUCAUACAUGACACCUUUUCUAAACAAGUGCUGCUGGUGGCUGACUGAGGAUAUGCAGGCAAUAAGAGUACAGGAAACUGCAGCAACGCUGUAACUUUCAUCAUUCCUUAACGUGGAACAAGGCCAAGAAUAUUUUAGCAUAUUCAGGAAGAAGAACUAAAAAGAAAACAGCACGCAGAGAACCGUUCUACACUCUGAAUGAAGAGAGCACAGUUACUUCAUGCUGGAUUCAUUUCAGCACAACAUCAUAACGGCUUUCCACAAAGUGGUUUAGAUGGGAUUCCCAGGUGACUUCUUGUGUAUUUAAAUACUGCCUGCCUAGGAUUUAAAUAAACAGCUUUUAUAUUAAUUAGAAACAAAUUCUCUCAAUUGGAAGGUAUUAACAGUUUUUAAAUUGCACACACAACAGUUACUCAGACUUUGAUUCAGUUAUGUGCUUUUAAACUUGCCAGCCACUCGUAGUCUAAUACGCUAUAACCACAGUUUACAGCAGUGCAAUAAAAUAUUGAUUCAACUGUUUUUACCUUUCAUCGAUCGGCAUAACACGUAAUUAAGUCCUAGGAGCAAGCAGGCAGCUCAUUGCUAGCACAUCAGCCUAGGUACACAUUUACAGCACAAGCCUAGCAGUAUUGUUUUAUGCAUGUUUUGCAGUAAUACACAUGCCAAUUAUCUCUUUGCUGGUUUCUGAUUACAGUUUAAUCAAAGACACUCCACACCGCACAAGUAGGACCUGAAUAUAGACUGCCAGGCUCUUCAUUGACCAAGUACAUUGAUUUUACCAGCUGAGAGCCUGACUCAGAUGCUUUGUACUACACUCAUUGCAAAAUCCCUGAGAACGCGCCUGUGGCUCUCAGAAAGCACAAGAGUUGUAAGUUCCACCUGAUCCUGGGAGUGCCAACUCCCUCUGAAGGCAGAGAAAAGCUGCCUGCUUAAAUUCACAGGGUUAGUUAGUAGCUCUAAAGUUUUUAGAGGCUCAGAAUCAUCCCUCUCCAUAAGAUAACUGCCUUGUCUGGCUCCCAGGAACAAUGUUCUGCUUUUCUCAGCUUUGACCCCAUUAGGUAAAUCCAUGUGGAUUUUUUUUUUUUCUGGCUAACUAGCUGAAAAAAAAAAAAAAAAAAAAAGAUGUUUUUUCCCUUGGUUUACCUCAUACCAUUCAAAAAAGCUAAACAGAUUCUCAAAAUGUUUGUGAUCAGAUUGAAUAGGCCAAAUUAAUCCUUUGUGCUUGCAGCCUGUUUUUCAUUAAUUAGUGGAAACCCAACCUGACAAUAUUCAAUAUCACAGUUUCCAGACUAAGAGUGCAUUGCUGAGAUAAAUGGAGUAGAAGGAAGAUGUCAGUUCCUGGCAUUAUCAUCCUCCUGUACAAUAGCAUUUUGU